UACGUAGGGGGCUAGCGUUGUCCGGAAUCACUGGGCGUAAAGGGUGCGUAGGCGGGUCUUUAAGUCAGGGGGUGAAAUCCUGGAGCUCAACUCCAGAACUGCCUUUGAUACUGAAGAUCUUGAGUUCGGGAGAGGUGAGUGGAACUGCGAGUGUAGAGGUGAAAUUCGUAGAUAUUCGCAAGAACACCAGUGGCGAAGGCGGCUCACUGGCCCGAUACUGACGCUGAGGCACGAAAGCGUGGGGAGCAAACAGG
rnacentral:rRNA from 1 species